UCGGGAAUUUUGGGCAAUGGGCGAAAGCCUGACCCAGCAACGCCGCGUGAAGGAUGAAGUAUUUCGGUAUGUAAACUUCGAAAGAAUAGGAAGAAUAAAUGACGGUACUAUUUAUAAGGUCCGGCUAACUACGUGCCAGCAGCCGCGGUAAUACGUAGGGACCAAGCGUUGUUCGGAUUUAUUGGGCGUAAAGGGCGCGUAGGCGGCAAUUCAAGUCAUCUGUGAAAUCUCCGGGCUUAACUCGGAACGGUCAGAUGAUACUGCUUUGCUAGAGUGCAGAAGGGGCAAUCGGAAUUCUUGGUGUAGCGGUGAAAUGCGUAGAUAUCUGGAGGAACACCGGUGGCGAAGGCGGCAUCCUGGACCGGUAUUGACGCUGAGUGAGCGAAAGCCAGGGGAGCAAACGGGAUUAGAUACCCCAGUAGUCCCUGAGCGGGCUGGCAAGGCGCAU
rnacentral:rRNA from 1 species